rnacentral:rRNA from 1 species
UCCUACGGGAGGCAGCAGUGGGGAAUAUUGCACAAUGGGGGGAACCCUGAUGCAGCAAUGCCGCGUGGGUGAAGAAGCACUCCGGUGCGUAAAGCCCUGUCAGCAGGGAAGAAAAUGACAGUACCUGACCAAGAAGCCCCGGCUAACUACGUGCCAGCAGCCGCGGUAAUACGUAGGGGGCAAGCGUUAUCCGGAUUUACUGGGUGUAAAGGGAGCGUAGACGGUAUGGCAAGUCUGAAGUGAAAGCCCAGGGCUUAACCCUGGGACUGCUUUGGAAACUGUUAGACUAGAGUGCUGGAGAGGUA